rnacentral:lncRNA from 1 species
UUGAUUUUGGUCGAUUUAUUUUAAAAUUGUUCUUUGAAUUUUUUUAAUUGUUGACUUAUAUUUUGAUUGAUAAAUUCAUCACAGUUUAGAGUUAAGUAGGGUUUAGGGUUAGGUAGGGUUUAGGGUAGGUAAGGAUUAGGGUUAGGUAGUAUUUAGGGUUAGGUAGGGUUUAGAAUUAGGUAGGGUUUAGGGUUAGUAGGGUUUAGGGUUAGUAGGGUUUAGGGUUAGUAAGGCUAAGGGUUAGGUAGGGUUUAGGGUUAGAAAGGGUUUAGGGUUAGGUAGGGUUUAGGUUAGGUAGGGUUUAGGGUUAUGUAGAGUUAGGGUUAGGUAGGGUUUAGAAUUUGGUAGGGUUUAGUGUUCGGUAGGGUUUAGGGUUAUGUAGGGUUUAGAAGGUAGGGUUUAGGGUUAGUAGGGUUUAGGGUUAUGUAGGGUUUAGAAGGUAGGGUUUAGGGUUAGUAGGGUUUAGGGUUAUGUAGGGUUUAAGGCUAGAGAGGGUUUAGGGUUAGAAUGGUUUUAGGGUUAGGUAGGGUUUAGGUUAGGUAGGGUUUAGGGUUAGUAGGGUUUAGGGUUAUGUAGGGUUAUGGUUAUGUAUGGUUUAGAAUUAAGUAGGGUUUAGGGUUAGCAUGGUUUAGGGUUAGAAGGGUUUAGGGUUAGUAGGAUUUAGGGUUAGAAAGGGUUUAGGGUUAGGUAGGGUUUAGGGUUAGAAGGGGUUUAGGGUAAGGUAGAGUUUUAGCGUUUGAUGGGACUUAUGGUUAGGUUUAUGUAGGGUUUUAGGGUUAGGUUUAGGCAGGGUUUAGGGUUAGCAGGAUUUAGGGUUAGGUAGGGUUUAGGGUUAGAAAGGGUUUAGGGUUAGAUACGGUUUUUAGGGUUAGGCAGGGUUUAGGGUUAGAAAGGGUUUAGGGUUAGGUAUUGUUUAGGGUUAAAAAGGGUUUAGGGUAGGUAGGGUUUAGGGUAGGUAGGGUUUUGGGUUAGGUAGGGUUUAGGGUUGGUAGGAUUUAGGGUUAGGUAGGGUUUAGGGUUAGGUAGAGUUUAGGGUUAGGUAGGUUUUAGGGUUACAUAGGGUUUAGGGUUAGGUAGGGUUUAGAAUUGGGUAGGUUUUAAGUUUAGUAGGGUUUAGGGUUAUGUAGGGUUUAGGGUUAGUAGGGUUUAGGGUUAGGUAGAGUUUAUGGUUAGUAGGGUUUAAGGUUAGUAGGGUUUAGGGUUAGUAGGGUUUAGGGUUAGGUAGGGUUUAGGUUAGGUAGGGUUAGUAGGGUUUAGAGUUAUAUAGGGUUAGGGUUAGGUAGGGUUUAGGGUUAGUAGGGUUAGGUAGAGUUUAGGGUAGGUAGGGUUGAGGGUUAUGUAGGGUUUAGGGUUAGGUUUUAGGUAGGGUUUUAGGGUUAGGAAGGGUUUUAGGGUUAGAAAGGAUUUAGGGUUAGUAGGGUUUAGGGUUAAAUUGGGUUUAGGGUUAGGUAGGGUUUACGUUCAGGGUUAGGUUGGUUUACGAUUUGAUAGGUUUAGGGUUAAGGUAGUAUGAAGGGUUUAGGGAUUAGUGUUUGGUUUAUGUAGGGUUUAGGGUUAGGUAGGGUUAAGGUCUAGGUUUAGGUAGGAUUUAGGGUCAGGUAGGAUUUAGGGUUUAGGUAGUAGGAAAGAUUAGCGUUUGGUUUAGGUUGGGUUUAAGGUUUGAUUUUGAAUAAUGCUUAGGAUUAUAGGGUUUAGGGUUUGUUUGUUUUUUUGUUUAUACAUUUAGUGCUUAGUUUUUCGGAUAAAAUUUUAUAUUCAUAAUUUUGAUUCAUAAUUUUUCUUAGAAUGUUAAAAUUUUUAAAGUGAUUUUUAAUGUUCUUAAAACAAAGUAUGUAUUUUUUUAUUAAAAUUUUUUGUGACAAUAAGUUGAAUAUAUCUUAGACCACAAAUCAUAAAUAUUCUCAUUCGUAUACAAUUUGUUCUUUAAGUUAUUGUUACUUUUAUUUAUUUUUAUACAUUUCUCUAUAUAUUUAUGUAUGCAUGUAUAAUAUUUUUUUAAAAGGAUUUUUCAUUAACUAAUGUAUUUAUUGUAGUUUUAAAUAUA